rnacentral:rRNA from 1 species
AUUGAACGCUGGCGGCAGGCCUAACACAUGCAAGUCGAACGAGUGGCGGACGGGUGAGUAAUGUCUGGGAAACUGCCUGAUGGAGGGGGAUAACUACUGGAAAAGGUAGCUAAUACCGCAUACCAUCAGUGGUGCCCAGAUGGGAUUAGCUUGUUGGUGGGGUAAAGGCCUACCAAGCCGACGAUCCAUACCUGGUCUGAGAGGAUGAUCAGACACACUGAGACUGAGACACGGCCCAGACUCCUACGGGAGGCAGCAGUGGGGAAUAUUGGACAAUGGGCGAAAGCCUGAUCCAGCAAUGCCGCGUGAGUGAUGAAGGCCUUAGGGUUGUAAAGCUCUUUUACCCGGGAUGCAGUACCGGGAGAAUAAGCUCCGGCUAACUCCGUGCCAGCAGCCGCGGUAAUAC